rnacentral:rRNA from 1 species
GACGAACGCUGGCGGCGUGCUUAACACAUGCAAGUCGAACGGAAAGGCCCUGCUUUUGUGGGGUGCUCGAGUGGCGAACGGGUGAGUAACACGUGAGUAACCUGCCCUUGACUUUGGGAUAACUUCAGGAAACUGGGGCUAAUACCGGAUAGGAGCUCCUGCUGCAUGGUGGGGGUUGGAAAGUUUCGGCGGUUGGGGAUGGACUCGCGGCUUAUCAGCUUGUUGGUGGGGUAGUGGCUUACCAAGGCUUUGACGGGUAGCCGGCCUGAGAGGGUGACCGGCCACAUUGGGACUGAGAUACGGCCCAGACUCCUACGGGAGGCAGAAGUGGGGAAUAUUGCACAAUGGGCGGAAGCCUGAUGCAGCAACGCCGCGUGCGGGAUGACGGCCUUCGGGUUGUAAACCGCUUUCGCCUGUGACGAAGCGUGAGUGACGGUAAUGGGUAAAGAAGCACCGGCUAACUACG